UGACUGCACCUUUUCUCCUC
rnacentral:piRNA from 1 species